UAAGAUUUUUUUUUUUACUUUGACUCACUUUUCCCUACCUUGUCAAAAUAGGUAUUUUUUUCAAUCUCUACGGAUGACUCCAUGACAUAAAAAGACAUUCUAAAAAAAGGUUGGUUUCACCUGUUGGGGGAAAUGUUGUCAAGUUACUGGAGGAAGAGGAGGAGGAGGAGGAAGAGGAAGAGAAGAAGACAAAAAAGAAAAAGUGGAAACAUAUGGCGUGAUGUGACGUAUCACUGCAGCCUGGAGCAGGCAAGGCAAAGAAGGAGAUUCCCAGGAGAGCAAAGCCAGCAGACAACAACCUCCCAGUCCAAGUCUGCGGCGUCUUGUCGCCAUAGCCGAUGGUGGUACACAAGGAAGGAAGAGAAGAUGAGCACCAGGAACCCGAUGUACCACGCCGUCACCAGCUCCUAACAACCAACACAUACAACACUGUCCAAAUGCGCACUCUCAGCAGCCAACAGUUUAAUCGCAA